rnacentral:rRNA from 1 species
AUUGAACGCUGGCGGAAUGCUUUACACAUGCAAGUAGAACGGCAGCACGGGGGCAACCCUGGUGGCGAGUGGCGAACGGGUGAGUAAUACAUCGGAACGUGCCCAGUCGUGGGGGAUAACGUAGCGAAAGUUACGCUAAUACCGCAUACGAUCUACGGAUGAAAGCGGGGGACCGUAAGGCCUCGGGUCAUUGGAGGGGCAGAUGUCAGAUUAGGUAGUUGGUGAGGUAAAGGCUCACCAAGCCGACGAUCUGUAGCUGGUCUGAGAGGACGACCAGCCACACUGGGACUGAGACACGGCCCAGACUCCUACGGGAGGCAGCAGUGGGGAAUUUUGGACAAUGGGUGCAAGCCUGAUCCAGCCAUUCCGCGUGCAGGACGAAGGCCUUCGGGUUGUAAACUGCUUUUGUACGGAACGAAAAGGCUCUGGUUAAUACCUGGGGCUCAUGACGGUACCGUAAGAAUAAGCACCGGCUAACUACGUGCCAGCCGCCGCGGUAA